rnacentral:rRNA from 1 species
UACGUAGGGUGCAAGCGUUAAUCGGAAUUACUGGGCGUAAAGCGUGCGCAGGCGGUUUUUUAAGUCAGCUGUGAAAUCCCCGGGCUUAACCUGGGAAUGGCAGUUGAGACUGGAAGGCUGGAGUGUGUCAGAGGGGGGUAGAAUUCCACGUGUAGCAGUGAAAUGCGUAGAGAUGUGGAGGAAUACCGAUGGCGAAGGCAGCCCCCUGGGAUAACACUGACGCUCAUGCACGAAAGCGUGGGGAGCAAACAGG